rnacentral:rRNA from 1 species
UACGUAGGGUGCGAGCGUUAAUCGGAAUUACUGGGCGUAAAGCGUGCGCAGGCGGUUCGUUAAGACAGAUGUGAAAUCCCCGGGCUUAACCUGGGAACUGCAUUUGUGACUGGCGAGCUAGAGUAUGGCAGAGGGGGGUAGAAUUCCACGUGUAGCAGUGAAAUGCGUAGAGAUGUGGAGGAAUACCGAUGGCGAAGGCAAUCCCCUGGGCCUGUACUGACGCUCAUGCACGAAAGCGUGGGGAGCAAACAGG